AUGAUCAAUAAAUCUGAAUCCAAGCCACAAAAUUUGCAUCUUCGUAUUUCUCACUAUCCAAAGUUUUGAUGCAUCAUUCCAUAAUUCCAUAUACAUCAACUACAAUAACUGUCAAGAUUAAAAGCCAAAAACCUUCGAAACCGAGUUGCCAAAUUAACAAAAAAUGGGGUCCACCAACGCUUAAAGACUAGUCCGAAUCCGCUAUUUCCCCUUCCUCCAAUUCCUCUUCAAUAUCUCCAAGUUUACUAUCUUCUUUUGAUGGCAAAUCGUCACACAAACCAUCAAAAUCAAGAAAAUCAUCAGGGUUUGUUUCCGAGAUGAGACUGGAAUAAACAUCAACCAACUCGGGUUCAAAGUCAAAAUUCAUCAAAUCCGAGAGCACGUUAUCAUUGCAUGUUGAAUCAAGAGACUUGUCAAUAACAUUAGCCCCUUCGUCUUUUGUCUCUGUUUUGCUGUUUGAUU
rnacentral:lncRNA from 1 species